rnacentral:rRNA from 1 species
AUUGAACGCUGGCGGCAUGCUUUACACAUGCAAGUCGAACGGUAACAGGUUAAGCUGACGAGUGGCGAACGGGUGAGUAAUGCAUCGGAACGUGCCCGGUCGUGGGGGAUAACGCAGCGAAAGCUGCGCUAAUACCGCAUACGAUCUAAGGAUGAAAGCGGGGGACCGUAAGGCCUCGCGCGAUCGGAGCGGCCGAUGUCAGAUUAGGUAGUUGGUGGGGUAAAGGCUCACCAAGCCAACGAUCUGUAGCUGGUCUGAGAGGACGACCAGCCACACUGGGACGGAGACACGGCCGAGACUCCGACGGGAGGCAGCAGUGGGGAAUUUUGGACAAUGGGCGAAAGCCUGAUCCAGCAAUGCCGCGUGCAGGAAGAAGGCCUUCGGGUUGUAAACUGCUUUUGUACGGAGCGAAAAGGUCUCCUCUAAUACAGGGGGCUCAUGACGGUACCGUAAGAAUAAGCACCGGCUAACUACGUGCCAGCCGCCGCCGUAA